rnacentral:rRNA from 1 species
GUGGGGAAUAUUGCACAAUGGGCGCAAGCCUGAUGCAGCAACGCCGCGUGAGGGACGACGGCCUUCGGGUUGUAAACCUCUUUUAGCAGGGAAGAAGCGAAAGUGACGGUACCUGCAGAAAAAGCACCGGCUAACUACGUGCCAGCAGCCGCGGUAAUACGUAGGGUGCAAGCGUUGUCCGGAAUUAUUGGGCGUAAAGAGCUCGUAGGCGGUUUGUCGCGUCUGCUGUGAAAACCCGAGGCUCAACCGCGGGCCUGCAGUGGGUACGGGCAGACUAGAGUGCGGUAGGGGAGAUUGGAAUUCCUGGUGUAGCGGUGGAAUGCGCAGAUAUCAGGAGGAACACCGAUGGCGAAGGCAGAUCUCUGGGCCGUAACUGACGCUGAGGAGCGAAAGCGUGGGGAGCGAACAGGAUUAGAUACCCGAGUAGUCC